ACCUUUCUAGUAUAAGUUAGUAUAAGUGACUUCCAAUCACCCGGCUUUGGUUAAAAUCCAAAGAAAGGUA
rnacentral:tRNA from 2 species